rnacentral:lncRNA from 1 species
CAUUCUAUAAAAUAAUAUUUACAUAAAUGUUUGAAUUAAAAGUGAGUUUGACAGAAUCACAAUAUAUCAUACGUCAAAAUUUCAACAAAAUCGCAGUGUGCUCAACAUGCACUUAAUUUAACAUUAUCAAUUAUGUAAGUACUUUGAUAUAAUUGACAGUAUACAGUACUUAUUCAAAAUGAAUUGAAUCUCCAAGAAGACUUAUUUAUCUCAACACAUUCAUGUUCAAUUCCUCGCAGACGAAAUGAUGUUAGAACCAAAAAACGGGAGCUUCUUUUUUCGCUCCUCACAUUUGUUCAGAAGUAUACUUUCGGACAAAAUAAAGUUACCAAUAUGUCAUGCAUAUAGUA